rfam:Myotis lucifugus cont2.42907, whole genome shotgun sequence.
GGCGGUUCUCCGGUGACACACCUUGGAAUCGGGCUCCCUCCUCUCCGGUUCUGUGUGUGUCACCCAAGAAUUACA